rnacentral:rRNA from 1 species
UCCUACGGGAGGCAGCAGUGGGGAAUAUUGGACAAUGGGCGCAAGCCUGAUCCAGCCAUGCCGCGUGGAUGAUGAAGGCCCUAGGGUUGUAAAGUCCUUUCGGCGGGGAAGAUAAUGACGGUACCCGCAGAAGAAGCCCCGGCUAACUUCGUGCCAGCAGCCGCGGUAAUACGAAGGGGGCUAGCGUUGCUCGGAAUCACUGGGCGUAAAGCGCACGUAGGCGGCUUUCUAAGUCAGGGGUGAAAUCCUGGAGCUCAACUCCAGAACUGCCUUUGAUACUGGAGAGCUAGAGUCCGGAAGAGGUGAGUGGAACUGCGAGUGUAGAGGUGAAAUUCGUAGAUAUUCGCAAGAACACCAGUGGCGAAGGCGGCUCACUGGUCCGGUACUGACGCUGAGGUGCGAAAGCGUGGGGAGCAAACAGGAUUAGAUACCCCGGUAGC